AUGGCCCUCAGGGUUGCUCCGUCGCCGCUCCUCGCCUCCGGCGGCGGUGCCACCGCCUUCACUACCCCGCUUACGCCCAAGAAGAGAGGCGCCGGCCUGCUCCUCCUAAGCAAGCGCUCCAGGAUCUCCGCCCAGCUCGGUGGUGGAGGUGGUGGUGAUGGAGAGACCAAGCCUGACGGCAAGAAGUUCAUCACCAGAGAACAGGAACCAGAGCAGUACUGGCAGACUGCCGGGGAGAGGAAGGGGGAGAACCCCAUGAUGACGCCGCUGCCCUACAUUGUCAUCUUCGGCUUCUCCACCCCCUUCAUCAUCCUCGCCAUCGCCUUCGCCAACGGAUGGAUCAAGGCGCCCCUCAUCCGCUGA
rnacentral:rRNA from 1 species